rnacentral:rRNA from 1 species
AUGAACGCUGGCGGCGUGCCUAAUACAUGCAAGUCGAGCGAACAGACGAGGAGCUUGCUCCUCUGACGUUAGCGGCGGACGGGUGAGUAACACGUGGAUAACCUACCUAUAAGACUGGGAUAACUUCGGGAAACCGGAGCUAAUACCGGAUAAUAUAUUGAACCGCAUGGUUCAAUAGUGAAAGACGGUUUUGCUGUCACUUAUAGAUGGAUCCGCGCCGCAUUAGCUAGUUGGUAAGGUAACGGCUUACCAAGGCAACGAUGCGUAGCCGACCUGAGAGGGUGAUCGGCUACACUGGAACUGAGACACGGUCCAGACUCCUACGGGAGGCAGCAGUAGGGAAUCUUCCGCAAUGGGCGAAAGCCUGACGGAGCAACGCCGCGUGAGUGAUGAAGGUCUUCGGAUCGUAAAACUCUGUUAUUAGGGAAGAACAAAUGUGUAAGUAACUAUGCACGUCUUGACGGUACCUAAUCAGAAAGCCACGGCUAACUACGUG